UACGUAGGGUGCAAGCGUUGUCCGGAAUCAUUGGGCGUAAAGAGCGUGUAGGCGGCUCGAUUAGUCCGCUGUAAAAGUCCAGGGCUCAACCCUGGGAUGCCGGUGGAAACUGUCGGGCUAGAGUCCGGGAGAGGCGAGUGGAAUUCCUGGUGUAGCGGUGAAAUGCGCAGAUAUCGGAAGGAACACCUGUGGCGAAAGCGGCUCACUGGACCAUUACUGACGCUGAGGCACGAAAGCUAGGGGAGCAAACAGG
rnacentral:rRNA from 1 species